GAUGAACGCUGGCGGCGUGCUUAACACAUGCAAGUCGAACGGUGAAGGCGGAGCUUGCUCUGCUGGAUCAGUGGCGAACGGGUGAGUAACACGUGAGCAAUCUGCCCCUGACUCUGGGAUAAGCGCUGGAAACGGCGUCUAAUACUGGAUACGAGCUGCGAAGGCAUCUUCAGCAGCUGGAAAGAAUUUCGGUCAGGGAUGAGCUCGCGGCCUAUCAGCUUGUUGGUGAGGUAAUGGCUCACCAAGGCGUCGACGGGUAGCCGGCCUGAGCGGGUGACCGGCCACACUGGGACUGAGACACGGCCCAGACUCCUACGGGAGGCAGCAGUGGGGAAUAUUGCACAAUGGGCGAAAGCCUGAUGCAGCAACGCCGCGUGGGGGACGACGGCCUUCGGGUUGUAAACCACUUUUAGCAGGGAAGAAGCGAAAGUGACGGUACCUGCAGAAAAAGCGCCGGCUAACUACGU
rnacentral:rRNA from 1 species